UCCCUGGUGGUCCGGUGGUUAGGACUCGGUUCUUCCAAUGCAGGGACCAUGGGUUCAAUCCCUGCUCAGGGAA
rfam:TPA: Bos taurus chromosome 5, whole genome shotgun sequence.